rnacentral:misc_RNA from 1 species
GAUGAAGAACGUAGCGAAAUGCGAUACGUAAUGUGAAUUGCAGAAUUCAGUGAAUCAUCGAGUCUUUGAACGCACAUUGCGCCCUCUGGUAUUCCGGAGGGCAUGCCUGUCCGAGCGUCAUUGCUGCCCUCAAGCACGGCUUGUGUGUUGGGCUCCGUCCCCCGAUCCCGGGGGACGGGCCCGAAAGGCAGCGGCGGCACCGCGUCCGGUCAUCGAGCGUAUGGGGCUUUGUCACCCGCUCUGUAGGCCCGGCCGGCGCUUGCCGAUCAACCAAAUUUUUAUCCAGGUUGACCUCGGAUCAGGUAGGGAUACCCGCUGAACUUAAGCAUAUCAAUAAGCGGAGGA